AUUGAACGCUGGCGGCAGGCCUAACACAUGCAAGUCGAGCGGGGUUUUCGGACCUAGCGGCGGACGGGUGAGUAAUGCGUAGGAAGUUACCCGAUAGAGGGGGAUACCAGUUGGAAACGACUGUUAAUACCGCAUAAUGUCUACGGACCAAAGUGUGGGACCUCGGGCCACAUGCUGUCGGAUGCGCCUACGUGGGAUUAGCUAGUUGGUGAGGUAAUGGCUCACCAAGGCGACGAUCCCUAGCUGGUUUGAGAGGAUGAUCAGCCACACUGGAACUGAGACACGGUCCAGACUCCUACGGGAGGCAGCAGUGGGGAAUAUUGGACAAUGGGCGAAAGCCUGAUCCAGCCAUGCCGCGUGUGUGAAGAAGGCCUUCGGGUUGUAAAGCACUUUCAGUAGGGAGGAAGAGUUGAGUGUUACUAGUACUCAGCUUUGACGUUACCUACAGAAGAAGCACCGGCUAACUCUGUGCCAGCCGCCGCCGUAAAAC
rnacentral:rRNA from 1 species